GAUAGUCUCACAAGCCUUCACAGAACCUCUGCACACUGCUGAAGUCCUAGAAGAUGAAAACUGCUGUUGUAGUUAUCGUGUUGUUCAUCAUUGCAGUAUGUCUAAUUGAACCUGAACAAGGUUUAUUACGGUCUAGGUGUGAUCGCUGGUGGAACUAUUGUCGACCUGGCGAAGAUUGCCGAUGGCAGCUCAUUCCUUGCCCAAGGUUCUAUUGAUGAUUCUCAAGUGAUGUUCUCAAAUCUGUUCGAUAGUUAUAUUGAAGACUUUCAAGCCUGGCUAUUGUGAUUCAGCUUUAAUCUACUAAACAAAAAAUUGAUGUAGGUCUAUAUGAUGUAGGCAACUCUGCAAUAAAAAAAAAACGAAUCAA